UCGAUUUCUGGAUGCAUCCAUGUCGAUUUCACCCACUUUUAUAAUGGGUUAAACGGCGUCGUCUUUGUUUCAUACAUUUUAUCCCCGAAGCUAAGUCCCGAUACUUAGUAUUUUUUCUCAAAACAAAGUUUCCCCUAUACCCUCAGUUUCCCCAAAUCAAACCCUAAGUUGCUUUCCUCCAUAUUUCACUGAUUCAAGGCCUGAGCUUGAUGUUUCUUCUCAAACAAAUCUUCCUUUCUUUUUUUUAACUCUCUUUCUCUCUCAAGUCCUCGAUUCCACUUCACUCUCCAGAUCUCCCCAAGUAACAUUCAAACCUUUCUUAUGUCUUUUUUUCCUAUUAUUCUUUAAAUUUAUCAUCUUUUCAGUUUGCACUUCUUUCUCGUUUGUAUUUCAUCUUAAAAUUUGAAAUUGUUGUAGAAAUUCAUUAUCAAUAAUAUGUCAAAAUUUAUGACUAUUUUAACACAGACCAAUCUUGGAAUUACUAAUUUUGUUUUUGUAGACUCAGGUUGAUAUUACGCCUACAAACUAGCUUUCAACAGACAUAUUGAUAUCUCUUCUGAAAUAGACUUGAGUUCAGUUAACAGAUUGUUGUGGUUCCAAGAUUUGUUUGCUUAAGUGAUCUUAAAAUAGUUAAUAAAUCUAGGCAUAUUGUUGUUUCAAUUGUCUUCUGUUAUUAGAAAAUCUGUUUUCACAUUGCAGGUAAGUUAGGAAGAGUUGGGUUAGUGACAAAUCUGAUGAGCCUUCACUGUGCUGCUGAACAAUCUGCUUGUUGUCUAGGGCAAUAUACAUCGUAAGUGUUGCUUUAAAUCCUAAUUUGAUAGAGUUAGUAUUAAUAUGUGGUUAGUUAGUUCAAGUCAGUUAGCUGAGUUGUUGUUCAGCUAAGAAUCUGUUGGAAGAGCAGUUAUUGAUCAAAUGUUCUAUAUAUACACUAGUAAGUGUACAGAGAAAGCUAAGCAUUCAAGAUUCAGAAUAUACCAUUGUAAUUCAUUUCCAGAUCUAGAAAAUAUUUCUUUUCAGUUACAAGUGAAAAUUUACCUAGUUCAUAACAUAAUUGAUGCGCAGUUAUUUGGUUUCUGAAGUUCUAUUAACACUCCUAAUCCUGUUACUUUCAUUUGCAUGAAGUGAUUGUUUUAUAUAGAAAUGUAAUCAAGAUGUUUUAGAGUGAAUAGUAUUAGUGUUAGUGAGAAAAGUUAUUUGUCUUUUGCAUUGGUUUGCUUUGGGUUGUAGCUGAUUCAAGGCUAGGCAUAGAAAACCCUUUGGAGUGCCUAUUUUCUAGCAGUUUGGCAUCAUAUUAUAAGGACCUUCAUUUGCUGCUCAUCAUCUCCCAUCCAACAGGUUAGUAUAUUUUUUCAAUUUCGCCUUUUUAUUCUUCUUUCUAAGCUCUCAAACUGUAACAUUCUAUAAAUUCAUUUUCAUGGUGAGUGGUGGUUUUUUUUUCCCUUCACUGGCAAACAAAAGUAUCAGGUAACUUUAAUUUCUAAUUCUCUGUUUCUUUUAAUUUUCACAAAUCCUGAUAAAGUUUUUGCUUGUUCUUGAAAUAUUUCUAUGUUAUUGCUUCCAAUCUUUUCUAAGAUCUUCCCUUGACUCACUUUUGAUUUGGGGUUUUUGUUUCCUUUUCAUCUUCUUGUUGAAAAUUUAUUCAUAUGCUUUAAUUUUCUGGUUUCUUCUUGAUUAAGAUGCAUAAAUUUGAUCAAGCAAUUACCAUAAGGCAGGAUUAGAAGCUGGAAAAAAAAAACCCCAUUUAAUCUUUAAAAUCAACAUUUUGGUCGUGACAAGCAGCAGUUCGGCUUGAUUGAUAUGUAAACUUUGUUUUAUUGUUUGCCGGAUUGUAAAGUUUAUUUUUAUUUUCGGAAUUGGCAAAAGUCUUGUAUUUUUUUAUGAAUUUCACGUUGAAUAAGUGAUAUUUACCAAACACAUGCCCCUUUGUUUUUUUCCCAACGGUUUAUUGUUAUUUUAAAUAUUUUAGUUUUUUUAUUUUAAUCCCAAAAAAUAUUUUAUCUACUUUUAUUUUAUUUUUAAAUUACCUAAUUAAAUUAAAUUGUAUUUAAAGUAUUAUUUUAUUUUAUUUUAAAUUUAUUCAAGACAAGUUGUGUUUAAUCAGGAACCUUAGUUAUUUAGAAUGAAAUUAACAAAUGACCUAAGUUCAUCUUAUAUAAAAUUAACAAAUUACCUAAUUUGGAUGCUAUAUGGAUUCCAAAAUAGUUCUCGUAACUUCAUUGCGUUUGACAGUGAUGGCAUGAACCUACUAAAUCUGAAGGAUUAAAAAUCUUAAUGCAGCAGCAGCUAGUCCUUAUACUAUUUAGAAGCAUUUUUGCUGCUAGGAUUAGCAAUCUAGUUGAGGCAUGAUACAAUUCACAUUUUUAUGAGCAGAUGAGCUUUCUUAUUUAAGUUCGGGAUUGUGCAUUUGGUUAUUGCUUUUCUAGCUUUAACUAAUCAAACUGUGAGUAUCGUUAUCAUAUAUGCAUUAGGAACUAUGAUAGCUAUAUUAGUGAAUGUGGACUGUAAUUGAUAGGCUUACUCUUGAAAGUCCUUGCAAAGUUCUCUUCAUCCUUAGGGUUGGCGAUUGAAAUGUCUAAUCCUUAUGGGAUAGAAAAACAAGCACAACCUUUAUUUCAUAACAUUAAUCAAAUGUAUGAAUUGCAGCCCUUUAAAUAAACUUGAACCAGACCCGAUUCUUGUACCUUGUUUUGCUGUGCAGUUCGCAACUCAGCAUCAUGGGCUUUAAAUUGUAUUAAAUCUUCUUACCAUGUG
rnacentral:lncRNA from 1 species